GCACCGGUGGUUGAGUGGUAGGGUACCCGCCUCCCACGUGGGUGACCCGGGUUCGAAUCCCGGUCAAUGCA
rnacentral:tRNA from 1 species